rnacentral:rRNA from 1 species
UACGAAGGGGGCUAGCGUUGCUCGGAAUUACUGGGCGUAAAGCGCACGUAGGCGGAUUGUUAAGUCGGGGGUGAAAUCCUGGAGCUCAACUCCAGAACUGCCUUCGAUACUGGCGAUCUCGAGUUCGGGAGAGGUGAGUGGAACUGCGAGUGUAGAGGUGAAAUUCGUAGAUAUUCGCAAGAACACCAGUGGCGAAGGCGGCUCACUGGCCCGAUACUGACGCUGGAGGUGCGAAAGCGUGGGGAGCAAACAGG